AUGGAAAACAACAGGAGAAAAAACCUAAUGGGUCAUUACAGCAAACGUGUGAGUGAGGCCAGGCUUUUGUUUAGAGAAAGCUCAUAUGGUGUGGAAGAUAGCAGACCUGGUUUGUGAAAUCAUCCCGGGGGCUUUGUCGUGCUCUUCUUGGUCUUAGGAGAGACCCAAGAGGGCUCAGCGAAGCACAACUAAUAAUAGAAUUAAGAAGAUGAAAGCAAUUUGGAUUAUUUAGCCUAAAAGAAAUUAGGGUUUAAAAACUGUCUUAAGAGGUUCUAGAUGAAAACACUGAUCAAUUGCGAACCAUUUUCACAGAGGAUAGAAGAAGAAAUGGCCUUAAAUUGAUUAAGAGAGCUUGAAGAAGAGAUCCUUGCCAGGGAGGCUGAUGAUAGCUUGGCAUGGGCUGAUAGUGGGCUAGCUCAGUGCUGGGAGGACUGAAUAUAAGAAACACCAUCUGUCCUAGAAGAUCCAGGGACACUUUCCAGAAGGUUCCUUGAAGUUCCAAUCCUGUGAUGUCUUGAUGAAGGUAUAAACUCACCUAAUCUGUUCCUGAAUGAGCUAUCCUGGAACUCGACGUGUCUGUAUUCUUGGCCAGGACUGGUCUUGGGAGAGCUGGUAGCCAUCUGUGUGAUGGGAGGGCUGGCUGCCAAAAUACCAUUCCUACCGCUGAGUCAUGCUGUCUGAAAUCCUACCAGGUGACAAUCAUUCUUUGGUCAUCAAGAGCCCAAUGGAGUGUGAGUGAUGCCCUUAUGGUUUUCUUUUUUUCUUUCUUUUCUUAAGUUCCAGAGGGAAUAAGUGUGGAGGUUUUGAGAUAGCCAGCUUAGAAUUUUCUCUCUUUAGGGAUUGUUAAGAAAAAUUAUCCAAAACUUAGAAAUAAGGCAAAGGGGCAUGUCCUCUCAGUGUCAUACUGAGGCACUGUUUGACAUGCUCACCCAAGGAUUAUUUAAUUCUUGAGAAUAUACUUGUGUUUGACUAAGCCCAGAAACAGUAGAGUUACAUGUUAACUUGUCGAUUUCUGUCCCUUAGAAAAAAUAACCACAAAGGUUAUGGUUUUAUUCCCAUGUAGGCAUUAACCAGUUUUGUACCUAACUGAGCAGUGAUUCUAACAUUCUGUUUUGGGUCUAAAGGUCGUCACUUCUGCAAAUGCUCUUGGAACCAUCUUUCUUAUCGUACUGGUUUGCUCAUUAAUAAGUUAAAUACAUUUUGGACACAUGUAUAUAUUUGUGUGAGAGUCAUGAGUUUAACUUUUUGAAAAUUAUGCUUUGAUAGGAAGGAGAUGAGAUAACUGUAGCACAGUAGCUUUAAAGAGCACGACGUUGAUUCUCAUCUGGAUAGAGGUUUGUAUGUCAUUCCUUGAAAGAGAGGGAUUCCUUAAUUCUCAGGUAAUCCAUGAUUAGCCAGCCCUUGGUGAGCAAGAGGGAAUUGGAUUUUUUCUAACCUUAACAGAGGUGUUGGGCUUUUUUUGUUUUUGAUUUUUUGAUUUUUUUGUUUAUUGUUUUUUGUUUGGUUUUUGUUUUUGCUUUUGUUUUUGCUGAGAGCUUUGGGUGAAGCCAGCACCACCAGAGUGAAAAGGGAUUCUGAGUGAUAGAAUGCUUAGGAUUCUGAUGGGUGCACCUGCCACAUUGGAGAGCAAGAUUUCAGAGGCAGAGGGAUUCAGGGGAAGUCCAGGCCCUGGCACCAUCAUGGGAGAAGGUGACUGAACCUCACCGGAAUACAGGAGUUAAGGCAGAGAGUGGCUGGGAGCCAAAGGAGGCACCUGUGGGAAUGUGGAACCCCUCGCUCAUGGCGACAGACUCUGGUGGUGGCAGCAGUGCCACCUGCCCAGUGAUGCCUGGUGACCAAAGAAGCCAGUGGUUUAGACCAUUCCGGGGAUAAGAGGCACAAAUGGAGAAGUCGGCCGUGAGAGGCCCAAUCAUCAUGAAAAUUAUUUGGGUGACACAUGGGCAGAGUGUCUACCUGAGGUUGCUGCCUAUCCUGUCCUAAGACGCAGAGACACAGGUAAACCUUGGAUGCCAACCUCUCUGGUGUUGACAUCGCAUUCUAGGCCUUUCUCGGAAAACAGCCCCUUCUGUCUCAAAAGGGUCCACAGAUGGGGCAAGCUGAGGACAUCUUCCCAAGCCAUAGAAAGCAACACCCAGCCCUGGGAAACUUUGGACCUGCAGGGCUAUAUUUCACUCUUGGAUGGCAGUCUGCAGAUUCUUAAACUCACUCCCUAGCUCCUACCCUGGGGCUGCUAUUCUGCUCCUGUUCAAGGCUCAAAUGCCACCUCAUGCUGCUGGUCCCAACCGGGGAGUCUGAGCCCCUCAGAGGCAUCUCCCAGAUAAAACCCAACACCACAAUUCCUCACACUCAUUGUAUGGAGUGGUCUCACUCCACCGGGCUCUGUCAAAGCUGCAAAUUCCAGAUUUCUCUCUCUUGUGUUUUUGAACCUAUUUGCUUUUGAUUAUGGUUUGGUUUUGAAAGGAAGAGUCACACACGAUCCAGCUCCCUGUUUUCUUUCUCAGAUGGAGUAGUAAAGCUUAUUUAUAGUGGAACUGUUUUGUUUUUUUUUUUUCCCAUUAUGGCAUAUUUAAUUUUAUUACUCUAUUGCCUUGCACUUUGAAUUACAUAGGGGAAGCAAUGCAUAAAAGAAUAUUCCGUUGGUUUUCUUUUUUUCCCCUCGUGUAGUUGAUUGUGGAAAAAAGGAUGUAGCAUCCUAUUAGUCAUCCUGUACCAUGAUGAUUUUUUUGCCUGUGACCAACAAAAUUACAUUUUACACUUGAAUGAACUCUCUAAAUGGACCCUUUUCUUCAACAUAUGUGGACAUAAGAUUCAAAGUAUGGCCAACCCCAUGCAUCACAUCCAAAGUCCAUUUCAGCUGUGGUUUAUGAUUCUCUCCAGGAAUGCAAUAUGCUGCAGAGCACCAUGGUUUGGGCUUCUGAUGAGAAGUUUGAGCAUGCUAUUUAUUUUGUUCUUCUGUCUUUCUAUUCAAACCAUUUGAAAAGAUCACUGAACUCUAGGUAAUUUGGGACAGCCUUUGGUUACAGUCACCUUGGCUCCUUAGCUUAUUUCUCCAUCACUCUGGUCUUUGCUUUCUUAGGCUUGGAAAAAGGACAAGGAAAAUCUCUCUCUUUGGAACCAGCGAGGUUCCUUAAUUGCUCAAAUGGGCUUCUGAAAGAUAUGGUUGUAUUUCACGUGAAGCUUUUUCACAUGUUCUAAAGUCUUAGGUUUGAAUCCACGUUUCUUACCAUUUUUGACCAUGUUUUCUGACUAUGUUUUCUAUCAUGUUAGACCAAGUAGGUACUUCAAUGAGAUGCUUCUACCUCUGUUGUUUCGUUUCUAGGAGAGAACACGGAAUCCGAGGGGAAGGUAUUUGCCAUGCUCGAAAUCCCCACAAAUUAGGAGAAAGACUGAUCGAACCCUAUUGUUCUGUCUCAAUUUGUACAAAUGAAAGGAAAGUGGAUUUUUAACAACUUGUGAUGCUCUCCAAUAAAGAGGUGGCAAUGCUGAAUAUCCCAAUUUUCUGUGUUCAUUGGCCCCUCAGUUGCUUUGGAAAGCAUCCUACGGAUAUGGAGAAAUCAGAACCUUGGUAUACUGCUGAUAGGAAUGUAAAAUGGUGCAUCUGUUUUGGAAAACAGUCUGGCAGUUCCUCAAAAAGUUAGACAUAGAGUUACCAUGUGACCCAGCAAUCCCACUCCUAUAUAUGUAUAUAAAUCCAGGAAAACUGAAAAACGUUUGUCCACACAAAACUUAUACAUGAAGGUCCAUAGUAGCAUUAUUCAUAAUAGUCAAAAUGUAGAAACAACCCAAAUGUCUAUCAACCAAUGACUGGAUAAAUAACAUGAUUAUAUCCAUACAGUGGAAUAUUAUUUGGCAGUAAAGAGGAAUUCUAACAAGAUAUUUAAACCAAAAAUAAAAAUAAAUCAUUAGGGCAAUUUUUUACUUCAAAUCAAGGAAGGAUUUAUAUCUAAACAUAAUAAUAAUGAUGAUGCUUGUUUGUUUAUUAUAGUUACUAAUCUGCAUAUCUCAUGAUAACCUCCAAAAAUAGUUUUUAUCAUUCCCAUUUUCAGACAAGGAAACUGAGGUUCAAAGAAAUGUGAUACUUUCUGAAGUCUCCCAGUCGUUCUGUGUGCCAAGUCUGGCCUUCUUACAGUUUCUGAAAUGUGUGAUGCCCUUGACCUCAGGCUGGCAGAGUAAGUUGGGGUUAGGGGUGGAAAGAACCCACUGCAGUGUGGUUUUCGUGUAUUCCAACACAUAUUUCUUCAGGUGAAGAAGCAGGCUGCAUAGACACAUGCAGUUCUCCAUAGUUCUUCAUAGUACACUUCUAGUCGGCAAUCGGAGAAAAGAUUCAGUAGUUUUGCACCUGCACCCCAAUAAUAAAUGGGGGGACAACCCUGAAUUCAUGGAUAAAAGGAAACUUUCUAAUAUAUUAGUUCAGUCAUUCCAGUUUCGCAUGGGUAAUUCUUUUCCCAUCCGUGGCUUGGUCUGGGUCAGAAGCUAGCUUCUUGGGUCCACGGGUGGAGUUCUUCUAGUCCGGUUUCAGGAGCCAAGUGGCUCCUGGUAGGUCCUGGGUUCACGCCAGUGGUUCCUUCCAGCCACCAGCCUCCCCCGGCACAGCAGCCUGAGUUCCUCUGCCUGUACGGACCCCAGUCCUGGCCCCGAUGUCCCUGGCCUGUUUGAAGGGUUUGUUCCUGUCGGACUCUGCCAGGCUUUGUACCGUUCCUGACACUUUAGCAGUAGCUUGAGUGCUUUGUGUCACCUCUUUUUCUUCGGGCCUGUUUGCUUUUGAGCUCAGCUGUGUAACAAAAUUCUGUUGUAUUUUAUUCAGUAUUUCCAUUCAUUUGGAGCAGGACAUCUUUCCUCAUCAUCUCAGUCUUCCAUGUUGACCAGAAUGUUUACAUUUUGACUGUUUCUUUUGUGGCCUUAUUGUUAUGGACUGAAUGUUUGCAUCCCCCCCCAAAUGCAGAUGUUGAAGCCUCAUCCCCAAGGUGGGGGUGUGAGGAGGCGGGGCUUUGGUGGGGGGGUUAGGGUGGAGCCCUCUCCUAAUCUCCUUCACCCUAUUUAAAGCUAUUGGUCUUAAAUUCCACUUUGUCUGAUCUUCGCAUUGCCUCCACUCUCAUUUUGUUUAUUCUUGCCUGAUAUAGUUUCCCAUUUCUUUCUUUCCAAGCUUUCUUUGUCAUUUCAUUUGGCUGUUUUUCAUAAAUAGCAUGUAACAAAUAGUUCUUUAAAACUCUAUUUCAGAUUGUGUCGUUCAGUGGAGGAAUUUAAUCGAGUCCUAUUUAUUGAGAUGUCUGAUGUCCUUGGUCUUCUUUUUUCUUUCUCGUUUUUUUUUAAUGCAUGAUAUUGGCCAGGCAGGGGGAUCUUGGAUCACAGCCUUACCUCUCAAAAGCCUUAAGCCUGGCUCUACUGCCUCAGUGUUCCAGGUGUUUCCAGUGAGGAAUCUGGUGUCAUUCGAAUUCUCUUCCCUAUGUAAAUAAUUUGUUUUCAUUCUCAGGUAGCUGGCAUUUGGGAAUUUACCAGAUUACAUCCAGGUGUGACUCUUUUUUUGCUUUUCAAAUUGUCAUUAUUAAUCUUGCUUGGUACUUGAGUUUACUUCUGGUCCAGAAAUUGUUCUUUAUUCAGGUAAGGAGUAUUCUGCUUGUUUUUCAAGUUUGCGUCUCCAUGUCAUUUUUCUCGAACUCCUAAUGUUCAAUAGCCAAUAUUCACCCAGUAUGCAGUAUUCUUGAAUCUAUACUCCCUACCUCUUCUGCUUCAUUUAUGAUUUUCAUUUCAUUGAGUUUUCAAGCUCUGAGAUCAGUCAGUUCAUUGGUCAUUCAGAUAAACUUGUGCACCAUUAUGAGAAAGUUCAGGAUGGAGGGAUGACUGUUAGCAUGCUGCACUUUUUAUGCUAGUUUGCUUGGGAAUGGUUUACACCUGGAAAGCAGCAGGAUCCCAAACCUCUUGAUGGGGAGACUGCCUCAGUCAGGGGUUAGUUUCAGACUCCCAGGCUGACCCCAGAUGGCAUUUCAGCCUGCCAGAUCCCAGGAUGAUUCCGGCUUCUAAAGGAAGUAGCAGUGCUGAUGGUUUUUGAAGUUGAGUUUAUUCUUUGGCCCAGUUGGGUAUUUCCUGGAAUCACUUCUUUUUUCCCUUUGUACCCUGUUUACGGGCCCACCCACUUGCUCUCAUCACCCUGACGUGGGUCCUGGGUAUUGUUAUCAUUUGUCCCCGGGUCAGCUUCCUCAUGAGCCUGUGAGUUCCAUUUACCUUCCCCCCUCAGUCAGCUCAGGCUGCUGUAACAGAGGACCACAGGCUGGGGAGUUUAAACAACAGAAAUUUAUGUCUCAGUUCUGGAAGCUGGAAGUCCAAGAUCAAGGUGUCAUCAGGUUUGGUUUCUUUUGCGGCCUCUCCUUGGCUUGCAGGUAGCCAUCUCUUUGUUGUGUCCCCACGAGGUCUUUCCUUUGUGUGUGUACAUUCCUGGUGUCUCUUUGUAUGUCCAAAUUUUCUCUUCUUCUAAGGACACCCAUCAGAUUGGAUCAGGGCCCACCCUAAUGACCUCAUUUAAACUCAAUUAACUUUUUAAAGGUCCUGUCUUCAAAUAUAGUCAUAUUCUGAGGUACUGAAGAUUAAGGGUUCAACAGGUGAAUUUGGGGGACACAGUUUAGUCCGUAACACACUAGCUUGGUGUAGGCUUUGUUGAUAGAUGUUCAACUAACCAAGUAAAGGUUAGUUGAGAGCCUGAAUGAAAGUCCUCCAUUUGUUCUUUAAUCAUUUUGACUUUCAAGCAGGUUGUGUUGCAUAGGAUGGCACCAUAUGCUCUUUUAAGAUAAAUUAAGUGAACUAUCUCUUUACUGUCUUUUUUUAUCCUUAGCCAGUAAUAUUUUGUGUAAGUAACUCUAUAGUAGUGUGAAUACAUGGUCCUUCCUCCACCCCCCCCCCCUGCAAAAUAUCCUUCUAUUGCAUGGUAAAGAAAAAAGUUCAGUACCUUAGGGCAGAUUCAAUCCACAGCCUCCGCACUGUAUUUCUCGCAACAGGCCUAUGUGUGGUUUGUCUGUGGGGAUUUGAAUCUGUGUUAUUGCAUACUGGAUUUACCUGCCUUGGGAAUUCAGUUCUUUUUUCUUUCUUAGCACUUUCUCUGUCUCAUCAUAUUUAUUUCCAUGCUCUGCCCCAAGCUCUGACAAACUUGAAUUUUUCAAAAAGCACAGAGAUAUGCAUUAUACUGAUUAUGGCAGUUAUUUGUGGUCUUUCUAGUUUAUAAUAAUGAAAAGCUGGAAUUAAAAUUUUUUUCCUUUGGCUAUUUUAUUCUUUUGCAGUCUUCAUUUUUAUAUUUUGUUUUUGGUCUUUUCAUUGAGUUUUUGAUCUCUGAAAUAGCAAUUUAAAAUAGCUAUCCAAUGGUAUAUGUAUCCACAACAGAGUUUGUUGCCAAGCAUACAAAAUGAAUGGGUUCCUUAUUCAAAUGUUAAAUGCCUACAUACAGAGUCUAUGUAUAGAACUGAGAUCGAGAUCUGGAAUUGGAUUCUACAAUGGAUAUCAUCAGGAUGACAGCUUCCAGUGGACUUAGGAUUUCAUUGAAUUUAAUAGUCCAUCAAUGCUAUCUAAUAAAACAAUGUGAUUCUUCUCAGUGAGUGGUCUCAAGAGCCAAGGGAAGUUCAUGUCUUGGCCACUCUGAACUACUUGCUGUGACCCACACUUUCCACACUGGUUCUUUUCUGGCUCAUGAGCAUGACUUUCCAUCUGCUAAGAACACUCUUCCUCUCUUGACCACUGGGAAGCUGUCCCUGAUCCCAAACUAGCCUAGAUGCUCUCUAAGGGCUUCCAAAGAUCCUGAGCAUGUAUAUGCUGAUUUGGAAGUGACUGUUGAUAUGUCUGUCCCUCCUUUUUGGCUAAAGGUCCUUUCUGUGCCAUGGAUGUCUUUGGAAGCUAAUGAGGCCUAUGAAUCAUAUCUUAGAAUCAUUUUUUAAAUGUAUAAAUUAAAACACAUUGAGUUCUGCUUCAGGGCAAGAUGGAAUAAGCACAUUCCACUCUGUCUCCAAGCAGAUGCUGCUCUAGGAGUUGGUAGAAUGGUGAAGACAGAAUCUGAAGUACCCCUGAACUGGUGGUGAGAUAUCAUUUUCCCUUUCCAAAACCAUCCAGCCUGGAUUCAGCACAGCCCAAAACCCAGAUGUACGCACUGGUGCCAAUAGAGCCCCAAGAGAAGCACUACAGGGAGCAGAAAGGAGGUCUUCUAAUGUUUAGAAGGAGUGGAGAAAUCCCCUAUAUAGUUUUGUUUUUUUCUCCUCUCCAUUCUCUUGCAACUCAGCCCCCCAAGCAAUCCUAUGGAGUCAGGGGCAUGAGAGCUCUCAGAAGCCUAAAACUGAGGGAGGAAAGUCUUACCUCUGAUCAGAGGAACUGUGGCCCCAACAGCAUGGGGAAGCAAACCCCCCGAGUUUUUUUUUUUUUCUCUGGGUCCUCCCACCGUUCGUCCCUGGGUGCAGAUAUAGUUAUGGGACAUGCAUAGAAGAGCAGGCUAAGUAAAGCCCCAGAUUUCUGGCCAGAGGACCAAAAAGUUGAGCCUCUGGGAACUGGAAAGUACCAGAGAGAGGGAAGAGUUAGAGAAAGCAACCUCAUGAAGUUGUUAAUAAACUUUUGGGCUCACCCCUGAGAUUCACAAGAAUAGACCUGACCCUAAAUAGCAUUGCUUUUGAGAACUGAACUACAAAUAAGAUCAUUGCCCAGGUUAUGGACUGGCCACCUACUAAUGUGCACAGAGAUAGAUCUGAAGUCAUGGAAAACAGAACCCAUAGAAGACUGGUUGGAACUUGUGGCCUGAAUUGAAGCUGGAAGAUUCUCUGUUUAAAAAAAAAAAUAAAAAAAAUCAAUGCUCUCCAUAGGAUUUGGUCUAGAGUCCUAGAGUCUUGUAAAAUAAUCAUCAAAUAUCCAGGAUACAGUUAAAAAUUACUCAGCACAUAUGAAGAAUUGGGAGGAAUCUGUUUGUAUGGGAAAAGACAGUCAACAGAAGCCAAUGCUUAGGUGACACAGAAUUUAAAACAGCUGUUAUAAAAUACCCCAACAUGUAAGGGCAAGUAUUCUUAAAAUGAAUUAAAAGAUAAGAGAUGUAAGAUAUAAAGAAGGGCUGAAAGGAGACUUUAGAAUGGAAAAAUACUAUAACUGAAAUAAAAAUCUCACUGUAUAGGCUCAUUAGCAGAAUGGGGAUGACAGAGGAAAGGGAAAAUGAUAUCUCACCACCAGUUCAGGGGUACUUCAGAUUCUGUCUUCACCAUUCUACCAACUCCUAGAGCAGCGAAUUUCAAUAUAGACCAAUAGGAAUUAUAAAAUCUGAAUCAUACAGAGAAAAAAUAUUAAAAAUAAAAAAGAACAGAGCUUCCUCAACCUGUGGGAAAACACCAAAAUGUCUAUCUUUUCAUAGGAGUCCUAGAAAGAAAAGAUGUGGUGUACAGAAAAUGUUUGAAGAAACAAUGGCUGAAAACUUGCCAAAUUUGGAGAAAGACAUAAGCCUACAGACUCAAGAAGUCUAGGAAACUCCAAAUGAGAUAAACCAAAGAAAUCCACACCCAGACACAUCAUUAUCAAACUGCUGAAAACUGAAGGAAAAAUAUAUUUAAAGAUUUUUAUUUAUUUAUUUUUGUGAGAGAGAGAGAGUGAGCAUGAGUGGGGGGAGGGGCAGAGGGAGAAGCAGACUCCCCACCAAGGUGGGAGCCCAAUGUGGGACUCGAUCCCAGGACCCUGGGAUCAUGACUUGAGACAAAGGCAGACACUUAACCAACUGAGCCACCCAAGCACCCUAUUUAAAGCAGCCAGAGAAAAACUACACAUUAACUUAUAGAGGAGUGUGAUUUAAAUAGCCAUAGAUUUCUCCACAAAGAAACAGAACAUUUUUAAAGAACAUUUUAUUUAUUUUUUUUAAUUUUUUUUUAAAGAUUUUAUUUAUUUAUUUGACAGAGAGAGAGAUAGCGAGAGCAGGAACACAAGCAGGGGGAGUGGGAGAGGGAGAAGAAGGCUUCCUGCUGAGCAGGGAGCCCGAUGUGGGACUCGAUCCCAGGACCCUGGGAUCAUGACCUGAGCCGAAGGCAGACACUUAACGACCAAGCCACCCAGGCUCCCUUAAAGAACAUUUUAAAAGAACUGUCGACCCAUAAUUCUAUAUCCCAUAAAAAUUCCCUUCAGAAAUGAAGAUGAAAUAAAGACAUUCUCAGGUGACGGGAAACUAAGAGACUUUGGUAUCACCAACUCUAUUACUAAAGGAAUUCCUUCAGACAGAUGGUAAAUGACACCAAAAGGCAAGCUGAAACAACAAGAAUUAAGAAAAAAAACAACAGAAAUGGUGAAUACCUGGGUAAAUAUAAUACUCUUCAUCUUUUAAGUUUUUUAAGAUAUAUUUUGGUUAAAAACAAAAAUUAUAACAUUGUUUAGUGGGAUUUUGAGUGUAUGUUGAUGUAACAAAUACAACAACCCAACAUGAGGGAGGGAAGAUAAGGGAAUGUAUGUGGUGUUAAUAUAUCACUUGAAGUGGUAGAUACUGACUUUAUAUAGACUAUGAAAAGUUAAAUAUGUAUAUUUUAAUCCCUAGAACAAACACUUAAACAUUACACAAAGAGAUACAUAGUAAAAAUGCAAUAGAUAAAUUAAAAUAGAAAACUAAAAAAUGUUUAAAAGAGAAAAGAAACUAAAAGAAAAGGGAAAAGCCAGAAACUAAAAAUAGACAAGCAGAAAACAAAUAAUAAAAUGGUAGCUAUAUCCAAAGAUAUAAGUAAUUACAUUAAAUGUAAAUGCACUAAAGACACUAAUUAAAGCACAGGUUGUCAGAACAGAUUUUUAAAAAUGACUCAAUUAUAUUUUGUCUAUAAGAAAAACUCACUUCAAAUAUAAUGACCUAGGUAGUGUAAAAACAAAAGAUGGAAAAUAUAUAUCACUAAUCAGAAGAAAGCUGUGGUGGCUGCAGUAAUAUCAGACAAAGCAGACGUCAGAGCAAAGAAUACAAAGGGGCAAUACCUAAUGACAAAAAGAGUAAUUUAUCAAGAAGAUGCAUAAUCCUAAAUUUGUUUACCAAAUAAAAGAGCUUGAAAAUACAUGAAGCAAAAACUAACAACUGAAAGAAGAGAUAGACAAAUCCACAAUAAUAGCUAGGACUUCAACAUUCCUCUCUUGGUCAUCAGUAGAACUAGCAGACAGAAAGCUGACAAGGGGUAUAUACUAUAAAUUACUGGUGUGAAUUGACAUUUACAGAAUACUACACCCCAAAACAGCACAAUACAUAUUCUUCUCACGUAUACAUGGAACUGUCACCAAGAUAAAUUAUAUCCUGUGUCAUAAUAAAAAUUUUUAAACAAAUUUAGGGAAUUGAAAUCAUGCCAAGUAUGUUCUCUGACUAUAAUGGAAUUAGACUGGAAGUCAAUAACAGGAUGAUAACAGGAAAAAUUCCAGACCCUUGGAAAUAAAACAGUACUCUUCUAAAUAAUCCAUGAGUCAAAAAGGAAGUCUCAGGGAAAUUAGAAAAUAUUUGAAUUGAAUGAAUAUGAAAAUAUGUAUCAAAACUUGUGAGAUGCAGAUAAAGCAGUGCUUAGAGGGAAAUUUACACAAUUAAAAUGCUCAUACUUGAAAUGAGAAAGCUAUCAAACCAAUAAUCUAGCUUAAGAAAUUAGAAAAAGAAGAGCAAAAUAAACCAAAACAAGCAGAAGAAAAGGAAUAAUAGAAAUAAGAACACAAGUUAAUCAAAUUGAAAACAAUUUCAAAACCAAAACUUGGUUCUUUGUGAAGAUUAAUAAAAUUGAUAAAUCUCAAAUGAGAAUUCUAGAAAGAGAGAGAACACAAAUGACCAAUAUCAAGGAUGAAAAAUGAGUUAUCACUACAAACUCUGUUCAUAAAUUCAACAAUUGAGAUAAAAUGGACAAAUUCUGCAAAAAAACACAAACUACCAAAUGUCCCCUGAGAUGAAAUAUAGAUGAGUAGCCCUAAAACUGUUUUUCAAAAUGAGUUUGUAGUUAGAAACCUUCUGUUUUCUAAAAUCUCCAUGCUCAGAUCAUUCUAGCAAAUUCUACAAAAUACUGCUAGUGAUGGUUCACACUAGCAAAUUCUACCAAAUAUUUAAAGAAAAAAUACAACAAAUUCUACACAGUCUCUUCCGGAACAUAGAAGGGGAGGUAACACUUCUCAAAUAAUAAGGCCAGCAUUAGCUUGAUACUGAAGCCAAACAAAGAUGGUACAACAAAAGCAGAGUACAGAGCAAUACCCCUCAUGAACACAGAUGAAAAAAUUCUAAACAAAAUAUUGGCAAAUAUCUAGCAUACAUAAGCACAUGAAGAGCUGUUCAACAUCAUUGACCAUUAAAAGCAAUGCAAGUUAAAUCCUGAUGAGAUAUAACUACAUGCCCAGAAUGGCAAAAUAGGAUGCUGAAAAUAAAAAAAAAAUACUGGCAAUACCAAGUGCUCAUGACAAUGCAGAGCAAUUGGAACUUUCAUACAUUCCCAGUGGGAAUGCCAAAUGGCACAGCCCCUCUGGAAAACCACUUGGUGGUUUCUUAUAAAACCAAAGACUUACCUAUGAUCCAACAGUCCUACUCCUGGGUGUUUUCCCAAGUGAACUGAAAACUUAGGUUCCACAAAAAUCUACCUGAGUGUUUAUAGCAGCUCUGUUCAUAUUCAUCAAUAUCUGGAAACAAUCCAAAUGUCUUUCAAUAGGUGAAUGUGUAAGUAAACUGGGGUACAUCCCUACAGUGGAAUACAACUCAGUUUAGCAAUAAAAAGGAUGAACUAUUGACACACAUAACAACUUGGAUGAAUCUCAAAGGUGUUAUGCUGAAAGAAGCCAAUCUUGAAAGUUCUAUAUACUGUAUAAUUCCAUUUAUAUGAACUUUUUGAAAAAAUAAAACUAUAAUGACAGAGGCAGAUCAGUCUUUUCCAGGGGUGAGAGGUUAGUGAAGAAAAUGUUUUGUUAUUUUUUCCCCACCCAAGUUCACACACCACUUGGGGAAGAGGGUCUGUGGGCCCCAAGUUAAAAAACCCAUCCUAUGCUAUAUAUUAUAUAGAAAUUGUCUUUUUUGUUUGUUCUUCUAUGUCCUGUGCCUACUAGAGUGGACCAACUUAUGGUAGGCACUCAAUUAUCUGGUUAAUAGAAUAAAUGAGGCACCUGGGUGGCUCAGUCGGUUAAGCAUCUGCCUUUGGCUCUGGUUAUGAUCUCAGGGUCCUGGGAUGGAGCCCCACGUUGGGUUCUCUGCUCAGCAGGGAGUCUGCUUCUCCCUCUAUGCUCUCCUUCUCUCUCAAAUAAAUAAAGUCUUUUUAAAAAAAGAGAAUAAAUGAAUGAACAAUUACGAAAGGACAAACAUAUAACAAUAUAUUGAGAGACUCCAGAGACUUGAAGAAAAAUGGACCCAUUUUGUUUAACCCAAUGUAUGAUCACUGUUCAUAAUUAUGAAUUGGACUGUCUCUAAUAACUCCUCUAACUGUACUUUUCUGGUUGGGCCACUGACCAAGUUUUGUCUGGUGUUGUGGAACCUGCACUGUUGCUGAGCAUCUCUUGUUUCCAUCCUGUAGAGGGAACACAAUUAAGUCCUUUGUCAGAGUUAUACAGCUAGGGGCGCUUGGGCGGCUCAGUUGGUUAAGAGACUGCCUUCGGCUCAGAUCAUGAUCCUGGAGUCCUGGGAUUGAGUCCCGCAUCGGGCUCCCUGCUUGGCAGGGAGUCUGCUUCUCCCUCUGACCCUCCCCCCUCUCAUGUGCUCUCUCUCUCUCUCCUUCUCUCUCUCUCAAAUAAAUAAAUAAAAUCUUAAAAAAAAAAAAAGAAUUAUACAGCUUGUUGUCAUCAAAGAUGAUAGAUAACUGUCCUAAAGGUACACAUUGCAAUUUGUGUUUGAGAUUUCUCAGGCCCUGUAGGACAGGAUUUGGUAGGUGCAGAGCUGAGGCCAUAACGAGAUUCUGUCAAUGGGUGUCAUCCAGGCUUAGCAAGGAGUCCAGGGUGAAGGAGCAGAAGUGGGCAAGCACAGCAGGGCACUUUGCAUGAGAGGGCAUCAAUGGGAAAUUGAUGGGGCCCCAUAAACUAAAGUUGGUGUUAGAACCAGAGAAGCCCUCCACACCCCCAGCAGUAGUAAGAGCCGGUGAGAACAAUCACCAGAAGGUUCUGGAAGAGUUGCACAAACCUAAUGAGUUGCUACACUUUACUGACCCUGUCAUGUACCAGCAGUCUCCUUGGUGGUCCUGGCAGGGCAUUCCAGACCUGAAUAAAAGAUUGGAAAAGGCUAAUAUCUUAUUUCAUUAAGUCAAGUCAAGCCAUUUUUACUUCUGUGAGCAAAUGUGGUGGUUGGUGCUCAGUGACAUUGCUGGAUGUAAGAUCCACCAUUAUUUUAUAUAAGAAAGGAAAAACAGGGGCGCCUGGGUGGCUCAGUUGGUUAAGCGACUGCUUUCGGCUCAGGUCAUGAUCCUGGAGUCCUGGGAUCGAGUCCCGCAUCGGGCUCCCAGCUCAGCGGUGAGCCUGCCUCUCCCUCUGACCUUCUCCCCUCUCAUGCUGUUUCUCUCUCGCUCGCUCUCUAAUACAUAAAUAAAUAAAAUCUUUAAAAAAAAAAAAAAAAAAGAAAGGAAAAACACUCAGUAGACUGACGGGUGCCUUUAACAACAGUCCUGACUGACCUAUGAAUCAAUCACAGCAGAGUUUUUUGAAAUUAAUCUUCAUCUCUUCUGAGAAAUUUAGCAAGAAACAGAUAUCUCGGUGACAGAAAGUAACACAGCUUGCCUGUCUUUGUUGGUAUCUUCCUUUCUGAGGUUUCUAAGGCACUUGGUUGUUCCUUUGCAAGAAAACAUGGACUUAAUGAUCAUUCCUUUGUGACAAAUAUUCGUUACUAAUACCACAUUUACAUCCUACUGUUUGGCUUCUGUGCCUUUCUGAGUACAAAAUAGCUUGUCAUUUCAAUGCUGAAUUAUGGUGAAAUUUUUUUUUGGAGAACAUUUCUAAAUGGCAGUUAAGCUCUCGGGUUAAACUAACAGAUGCACAUGCCUCACAAUCGAAGUGAGGACAGUGCGAGAAGCUACGACCAAGUGGACACAGAAACAGAGGCAAAGGCAGCGAUAUCAUGACCACCACCACUUAGAUCAACGGCUAAGGCACUGUUGACUGAGAUGCAUCUGGAUUCCAGAGAUGUUACAUUGUGAAAAACUGUGCAUCUUAGAAUCAGUAGAAUACAAUGAUUCUGUCAGAUUCCAUGAUCUGGGAGAGAGUUCUGUAUCCAAGAUGUGUUUCUUCGAUGUCCUCUGUUUGCCGGGGAAACUUCUGGGCCUACAGUGGGAAGCCAGCUAGACAAUUUCCUUGACUGCAUGGAGCUCACACUGAGUAGGGAGAACAUGUGAUACAUGAAUAACCAGAAAAGUAAUCCAUUGUUUUCAGUGCAGUGAAAGAAACCGAUGGAGCCGGGAUAGAGCCUCAGGGAGAGUAGGGUCCAGGGUGUGUCGUGCAUUUCUGAUAAGUCCUCUCCAAUCCUGCUGAUUUCCAACUGAGUGGACAUUUGGAUUUUGGUCUCUGAGAGUCACUGAGAGCCUGCAGGGUGAUUGCCUGCCAAGGUUUACCCAGGACAGAGGGGUUUCCUGGGAUAUGGGAAUGGUAGUCCGGACACGGGCAGUCCCAGCCACACCGGCACAGUUGGUCUCCCUACAGGGUUCUAACUCAGUUUCUUUUUGGUUUAAUAUUUGCAUUACUAUCUCCAUAUCUAGUGAAGUUUGAUACUAAAUGUACAACUGUGACUUAUUUUCUUCUACUUCCGUCUCUUCUAUUUUCAUAAAAAGAGGUUAAUUUGAUAGAUAGGACUAAAAUCUUAUAAUCCCCAAAGGCAUUCAGUCAGUCAACAGCACUGACUUAAGCUCCUACCUCAGGUCCUGGGGGUGCUGCGGUGAUGGGGUGAGGUGGCCGCGAGGAGGAAGAGCGCCUGUCUGCAGAUGGCUGGAGGAAGGUAGGGAGCAUCCACCAAGGACUCCAGGAGUUGAGAGGAGGUGGGUGUCUGAUGAUGCACAGGUGAGGAGGACAGGGGAAGCUGCCCUCUGUUCGUAAUUUUCUUUUACUUUAGAUGAACAAUACGCACCAAAGGCUUCAAAGAACAGCAAUUUCCUUUGCCUUUGAAAUGAAUUAAGGGCAAAAACAACGCCAUGCUUUCAUGUUAGGAAUCAUUUUGGUAACGUAGUGUGGCUUUCUGUUUUGUAACUAAAAGACUGGCUGAACUCUGGACUGCAAAUGCUUUCAUGACUAUAUGAAAUAUAUACUUUUUUCUCUUUGAACCAAUGGAACGCAUAUUCUUGGCUUUCCCUUCAAGCAAGGGGCCCCCACGUGGAGAAGCCAUUUUCACUUCUGUGAGCAAAUGUGGUGGUUGGUGUUCAGUGACAUUGCCGUCCUUAUUAGGGUUCGCAAGCCCUCAGGGAACUUCGUGUUUGAUCUCUGCCUUCAGCUGUGUGAUUCCUUUUCUUGCCCCUUGCCCCUCUCCAUUUCAUAUCCGCCUCAUAUCUCUUAAACACAUAGUUCCUUCUUUAAUGGCUCAUUGCACUGAAUGCCGUGGUCAGUCUCAGAAGCGCUGUCAUCUGAACAAAACCCCCAACUCUCCACCUGAUCACUGUUGUUUAGUAUUAUUAUUUUUUUAAAUAUGAUAAAGUUGUCAUAUGGAAAUGGGGGCCUUGAUUCCUUAACCUCUUUGCCAAAACUAGCUCACAUAUGGCCAGGAAAUAGAAUGUAGGUAUGAGAAUGUGUGUGUGUACACGCUCACGUGUGCGUGUAUGCAUGCACUUGACGUAGUAUGAAACCAAAAAGACUUAAAGUUCAGUAAAAUUGGUAAUCGAUUUUUAAAUGAGGUAUGUUUUACGGGUUGAUGUUAUUUGAAAGCUGAACAGCUGAUGUCAAAAAUAGACUUCCCAUUCUUUCCAAAGUGUGGCAAAAAUAACCACAUGCCUUUCUUGGCCUCCCGGCUCUCACCCCAGAGGGUUUUCUUGUAUAGGAACCAACAAUGCCUUGGAUGGAAACUCGGGAUAGGCUAGUCAUUAUUUUAAGAUUUAGGAGAUUGCAGAUUCUUGGCAGACUUUGGUUGUUUUUCUAGAGUAGUAGGCAAGUAGUUGGACAAAAAAGCAAGAAGCCGAUCCAUGUCGCUGGCUUUGGGCUCUUUGUGAACAAAUGAGACAAGGUGAGUAGCUACCCUGAUCUUCCUGCCCUUGUUCCAUGAGGAAGGGUUCUGGUGGCUGCAGCCCUGGUGUGUGGAUCUUGGUCUCUUGGAAAACAAUGGGACCCUUCCCCUUUGCCUUUAGGCUUGCCUGCCACUGGAGGAAGACCUAGACGAUGUUUCUCUGGUGCCAGCAAAGCCCAUCGAGGGGUUAGAAAUAGUAGCAUUGCUUGUGGAGGGAGAACAAUCACUCCAUUGUCAGAUUUUUUUUUUUUCACUUUUCAUCCAAACGCUGGCUGCUUUGUAGCACAGUUGGAGAUACUGUGUUGAGGAGCCUUUGCUCAUGGCAACGUUUCCUCUGUUCGCUUUCUGCUGCUUCUUGCGUUGGAAAAUUCCAUCCUUUAACACUGGGAUUAUAUGUCACCAUUGCUGAAAUGAUAGACAGAGUUCACUUAGUUUGCUGCAAGCAUGAGAGACAGCCAGAGAGAAUGGGAGAAGCGUAGCAUUCCCUUGUAUAAAGAGAGGAUUGAACAAGGUCAGUGAACCAAAGAACCAGCAGGUCACAAACCCUCAGGGGGUCAUGAAAAUCUUCCCGGGUUUCUUGUCUUUAAGAGCAAAAAUGAUGCCUGUUUAGAUUAAAAAAAAAAUUUUUUUUAACGUAUUUAAGAUUGACCAUGAUAAUUGAGCUGGAGAAGUAUUUGAGGGCUCAUUAUUCUUGUUUCUGUACUUUGGCAUGUUUUUGAACAUUUUAAUGAUAGGAAGUUUUUAAGAAAGUAUUUAAAUACUUCUAUCUUUCAUUCCAGAAUGAUUCCAGAAGCACUGAGUGGGUAUCAGAUAUCCAUGCGUGGCAGGGACAGUGGCUUAACUGAACAUGCUCGUGAAUUGGCCUCGGUCAAUUUAACUGAGCUGAACCCCCAAAGCUUCUAACCUGUUUACAGUUUCAAAUGGCCUUUAGUCUUAGCCAUAUGUUCUUUGGUCCAUAUCUUGAAUGGAUCAUUUGUUAGACACUAGAAGCAUUAGCAACACAGAUGCUGAAAUUAGUGUUAUUAAUUCAGUAAAUUGCCUGAUGAUAAUCUUCUCUUUAUCUGAAGAUGAUCUUUUUCUCAUCAAAAUCUAUCCCUCUGAAGAUGCCCCUGGACUUCAGAAACUAAGUGUUACAGAAAGAAAAGACAGUGACAGUUAUGUCUAAUUUUGGUUUUCAUUGAUAAAGAACCAAUGAUUGUAUACAAGUGAUUAUAAAUAGCAGAAAGUCGAUUUUCUAAGCACAAAAUAAGGAAUUUCAGACAUGAGGUCAUGAAAGUGAUUUUUGAUGCCCCAAUUCCUAAUUAAUUUCAACCUGUACUUUAAUGUGAGCACCAAACAGCUAACACAAAAUACUUCUUUUAUUGACUUCCUCCCUGUAUCUGGUGGCCUUGGAAUUGUUAUCAUGAUAUUUGUUGUCUCAUACUGUUUCCUAGUGACCUUUGGGCACAGAAAUGGUAGAAUUUUCUAGAAAUAGGGCGUGUGGGCAUCUUGUAAAGUUUAUGGGUUUUAGACACACACUCCUGAAAUUCUAUGUUAAUCCUCACAUUCAAUUAAAAUUUUAAAUAUAUUGAAUAUUAGAGUUUAUACCAAUAGGAGAUUUAUGAUAUACAUGGAUGAAAUAGAAAAUAUUUUUUACUCCAGGUCUCUUCUUUUUAUAAUACCCUGUACUGGACAUCUUCUGUGCAUGUCUCUCACCUCCUGGCCCACCUUUGAUGCCAGCAAUUGCUGACAGGUGGACCCAGACAGUGCCUUGUUUCAGCUGCACCGUGUGUCUCUCUUUCAGCCCUGGGCUUCUCAGAGACUGUCUCCUGGUCUCCUGAACAUGCCUGUACAAUCUAGAAGUUGAAUGGGAGUCGACACCCCAUGAAAACAACCUUCCAAAAGGCAAUUGAAGUCCAUGGGAUAAUGCUUUCCUUUUUCUUCCCUCAGGCUGAAAAUUCCAGUGUGCCUUCUACACAGCUUCUUAGAAGGAUCCUCACAGGAGACGAGAUGGAUCACGUGGCCACCUUCUCUCCUUCUUUCUUUGCUUCACUCCCUCCUGUCCUUGACCCCUGUUUGCUGGGAUCAUGCUCCAAAAUAACCUUCCUGUACCAAAGCCCUUGUCCCAAGCUCUGCUUUCUGUGAGGAACCCAGGCUGGACACUAGAAUAAUGUGCUAGAAUUAAGACAUGAAUGUGGAUGGCUAAGGGAUUGGUUGGGUUGUAUAUCUCUAUGGGUGGCAUUCAAAGAGAAGUUUGGGAAACACUGGACCAGAUGUCUGUUGGAAUCAGAGCAUGUAAAAUGAGAAUUGUCAGGUCCCCAUUCUACUCUAACAGGUUUGUGGGUGUCUGAGUCUACCAUGAAGAACAAUAGAAGAUCCCCAAGGCUUAUCAAGCCUGUUCAACACCUGUGAAUGGGCAACUGACCAGAGACCUUGACAGUGUCCACUGAUGUGGCGUAAGAAGGUGAUCUGGACCACGCUGAUGUCCCCCUUCCUCCUCCUAGGCAUCGAAGUAAGGAAUGCCCAGAGCAUUUGUUCAGUCUGCAAUGGGAAGAGGUAUAUGGCUAGCCAUGAUCACUUUACAUGUUUUCAAAUCAAAUGCUUCUAGCUAGGCUUUCUGUGGUGGCUAAAAUCCUUUCUUCCUGGAUUCGUGAUGCAUUUAUUAACCAUUCUAUUUUUGUAUCAUAUGAAUUAUCAUCACUGAUGGUUGAAUGGCUGGAUUUAGAGAAAUGUGAUAGCCCUAAUGGAAUUAAUUAAUUGAAUAAUAUUGCCUGACAAAUGGCUCUGUAUACCAAAGAGGGCUUGAGACUUAAUUACUGAUGCCAUUUAUCUCUCUAUUUGCACCCCAACAAUAAGCGACUCGUUUCUCAUUAACGUUGGGUCAUUUUCCAAAAGGAAGAAAAGAGGCCAAAAUAUCAGGAAGGGGAAAAAAAAUCGAUGUCUUUGUUCCCCACCUCAUUAUCCUGAUAAAUCAUAACAGACUCUGUUAAUUAGAUGGGCAGCCUUAACUGGCUGACUCCUGUCCAACAAUUACCUCAGAAAGAAGCACCACUGGGAACAUUGCCUUCCCUUGGGAGGAGAUGAAAGGAAGUCUGUAACAAAAAAAGGGAUCGUUUCCCCAGCCAUGCUGGGGGGGUCACAGUUGUCAAGGCAAAUUUUGAGACCGAAGGGCGGAACCCAUUUCAGGGACAGUGCCUGUGCAUUAUGGUGCCACGGGGUAUCUGACACUGCCUUCCUAAUCUAAGGCUUAGGUGAUGGUGCUCGGUGCCUCCAACUCUCCUGGGGAGAUUAGAGCCUAAUUAAAACGGGGGAACAGGUGUAAGAGGGCCUGAUUUGAUCUGGCCAAAUUAAUUGCUGAGAUUGGGCUUGCAUUUGGUAACUGGAAACAGUGAAUUAACUAUCACCGGAAUACAGCUAAUCCCUCGGUCUCACCGCGACUGUGUAUACAACAGACUGAACUUGCUGGGAACACAAACACAGAGGGAUUUGAAGUGAAGGUACGACGCAUCCCUGUAUAGGAAAGGCUGGACAGUGAGCCUAGCCACAGAGGGUGGCCAUACAUCUCAGACUGCCUGCCUGGGAUAGUGCUGGUUUAUGCCUCUUGUCCCUGCAAAAUUAUUAAUAGUGCCCCUU